ensembl:snoRNA
CCCGCCCUAGAUGCCUUGGAGGUGUGGCUGCAUGUCACACGUGUGUCAGUAGGUGACAGAGAGGAGAGAGGCCUUGUUAUACUCACUGUUCUGACCUGUGAACAUCUGAGUGAUCAGUAGCCUGGAAUU